rnacentral:sRNA from 11 species
UGAUCGGAUACGAUUUUGACGGCGGUUCGUUCUUCGAUGGAGUCGCCGAAGGAGAUGAUUUCGCGGGAGAGGAUGGGUGGGUUUGGUUGGGAGGUGGUGGGGAUGGAGAGGGGGGAUGAUGAUGAUGAGGCCAU